GACGUAGGGGGCGAGCGUUGUCCGGAUUUAUUGGGCGUAAAGCGUGCGUAGGCGGCUGCGCAAGUCGGUUGUGAAACCCCGGGGCUCAACCCCGGAACUGCAUCCGAUACUGCGUGGCUAGAGGUAGGUAGGGGAGAUCGGAAUUCCUGGUGUAGCGGUGAAAUGCGCAGAUAUCAGGAGGAACACCGAUGGCGAAGGCAGAUCUCUGGGCCGUAACUGACGCUGAGGAGCGAAAGCGUGGGGAGCGAACAGG
rnacentral:rRNA from 1 species